rnacentral:snoRNA from 1 species
ACACCAUGGUGAGGGCACUUUCAUAAUAGCUUCUUGAACUGCUCCCAUGCCUCAUAUAAAGAUUCUUCGUGAAGUUGCUAAAAUGAAAUGAUUUCAUUUCAGAUAUU